CCUACGGGAGGCAGCAGUGGGGAAUAUUGGACAAUGGGCGCAAGCCUGAUCCAGCCAUGCCGCGUGAGUGAAGAAGGCCUUCGGGUUGUAAAGCUCUUUUGUUGGGGAAGAAAAGCACUUGAUUAAUACUCGGGUGUUCUGACGGUACCCAAAGAAUAAGCACCGGCUAACUUCGUGCCAGCAGCCGCGGUAAUACGAAGGGUGCAAGCGUUACUCGGAAUUACUGGGCGUAAAGCGUGCGUAGGUGGUUCGUUAAGUCUGAUGUGAAAGCCCUG
rnacentral:rRNA from 1 species